GGGUCCAUAGCUCAGUGGUUGAGCAAUUGACUGCAAAUCAAUAGGUCACUGGUUUGAACCCGGUUGGGCCCU
rfam:Triticum urartu cultivar G1812 contig1103874, whole genome shotgun sequence.